rnacentral:rRNA from 1 species
AACGUAGGUACCGAGCGUUAUCCGGAUUUACUGGGCGUCAAGCGCGUUCAGGCGGUACGGCAAGUCGGGCAUGAAAUCUCUCGGCUCAACCGGGAGCGGUUGUCCGAUACUGCCGAACUCGAGGGCAGUAGAGGGUGGUGGAAUUCCGGGUGGAGUGGUGAAAUGCGUAGAGAUCCGGAGGAACACCAGUGGCGAAAGCGGCCACCGGGACUGCACCUGACGCUCAAACGCGAAAGCUAGGGGAGCGAACGGG